AAUCAAGCGCGAGAAGGGCGUUUGGUGGAUGCCUUGGCAGCAAGAGGCGAUGAAGGACGUGAUACUCUGCGAUAAGCUAGGGGGAGCCGAGAAUAGGCUUUGAUCCCUAGAUCUCCGAAUGGGGCAACCCACCUGACAGUUACCUAUUACUAUCUUCGAUAGCUAAUAGGCGGCUGAAACAGGUACUUUUGACCUGAAUACAUAGGGUUAAAAGAGCAAACCCGGGGAACUGAAACAUCUAAGUACCCGGAGGAAAGGAAAUCAACAGAUACUCCCCUAGUAGCGGCGAGCGAACGGGGACCAGCCGAGCCGUGAGUGUGACCAGAACGACCUGGAAAGGUCGGCCAUAGUGGGUGACAGCCCCGUAUGGGAAGCAUGAUCGGACGUAUUAAGUAGGGCGGGACACGUGAAAUCCUGUCUGAACAUCGGAGGACCACCUUCGAAGGCUAAGUACUCCUUGCUGACCGAUAGCGAACCAGUACCGUGAGGGAAAGGUGAAAAGCACCCCGACGAGGGGAGUGAAACAGUACCUGAAACCGAACGCCUACAAGCAGUCGGAGGCUCCUUGCGAGCUGACGGCGUACCUUUUGUAUAAUGGGUCAUCGACUUGGUCUCACGAGCAAGCUUAAGCCGAUAGGUGUAGGCGUAGCGAAAGCGAGUCUUAAUAGGGCGACGAGUUCGUGGGAUCAGACCCGAAACCGAGUGAUCUAGGCAUGAUCAGGCUGAAGGUAAGGUAACACUUACUGGAGGGCCGAACCCACACCUGUUGAAAAAGGUCGGGAUGAAUUGUGCCUAGGGGUGAAAGGCCAAUCAAACUCGGAGAUAGCUGGUUCUCCGCGAAAUCUAUUUAGGUAGAGCGUCAUCCGAAUACCCCGGGGGGUAGAGCACUGGAUGGGUAAUGGGGCCCCACAGGCUUACUGAUCCUAACCAAACUCCGAAUACCCGGGAGUACUGGAUGGCAGACACACGGCGGAUGCUAACGUCCGUCGUGGAGAGGGAAACAACCCUGACCUCCAGCUAAGGCCCCCAAUUCAUGGCUAAGUGGGAAAGCAGGUGGGACGACCAAAACAACCAGGAGGUUGGCUUAGAAGCAGCCAUCCUUUAAAGAUAGCGUAACAGCUCACUGGUCUAAACAAGUUGUCCUGCGGCGAAGAUGUAACGGGGCUCAAGCCAUGAGCCGAAGCUGAGGACGCGUAAGCGUGGUAGCGGAGCGUAGUGUGAGAAAGCCCUUUCCUCUUUAGCGGAUGGUGCGCCCUUGUGGCGGACCGGACGUUACGGAGGAGCGGGUUUGGCGAUGAAGCCGUGCCGUGAGGCCCGGUGGAGCGAUCACUAGUGAGAAUGAUGACAUGAGUAGCGACAAAGAGUGUGAGAGACACUCUCGCCGAAAGUCCAAGGGUUCCUGCUUAAAGCUAAUCUGAGCAGGGU
rnacentral:rRNA from 1 species